rfam:Triticum urartu cultivar G1812 contig71519, whole genome shotgun sequence.
CACAUACUUCAUUUGUCUGAAAAUACUUGUCAGAGAAAUGAAUGUAUCCAGAUAUAUUUUAGUUUUAGAUACAUCCAUUUUUAAUUAGUUCUGCGACAAGUAAUUUCGAACGGAGGAAGUACAUC